rnacentral:rRNA from 1 species
AGUGAACGCUGGCGGUAGGCCUAACACAUGCAAGUCGAACGGCAGCACAGUAAGAGCUUGCUCUUACGGGUGGCGAGUGGCGGACGGGUGAGGAAUACAUCGGAAUCUACUUUUUCGUGGGGGAUAACGUAGGGAAACUUACGCUAAUACCGCAUACGACCUACGGGUGAAAGCAGGGGAUCUUCGGACCUUGCGCGAUUGAAUGAGCCGAUGUCGGAUUAGCUAGUUGGCGGGGUAAAGGCCCACCAAGGCGACGAUCCGUAGCUGGUCUGAGAGGAUGAUCAGCCAGACUGGAACUGAGACACGGUCCAGACUCCUACGGGAGGCAGCAGUGGGGAAUAUUGGACGAUGGGCGCAAGCCGGAUCCAGCCAUACCGCGUGAGUGAAGAAGGCCUUCGGGUUGUAAAGCCCUGUUGUUGGGAAAGAAAAGCAGCAGGUUAAUACCCCGCUAUUCUGACGGUACCCAAAGAAUAAGCACCGGCUAACUUCGUG